rnacentral:siRNA from 1 species
AUACAUGCUUUAUUGGUUUGGAUC